AUGCAGUUCUCGCUUUCCAGCAAGUGGACUGCCAAGGAAGCUUGGGACGCCAUCGCCGCAGCACGCAUCAGCAGCGACCGUGCUCGCAAGUCCACUCUGCAGGCACUUCGUAAGGAGUGGGAGAGCCUGGCUUUCAAGCCAGGUGAGGACGUUGAUGACUUUGCUCUCCGUCUCAACACUCUGCUGCAGAAGUUGGUGAAGUUUGGUGAUGCCACCUACACCGAGGAGGGAGCUGUCGAGAAGCUUUUUCGGUGCAUCCCCGAGAAGUACAAGCAGAUGGCUCGGUCGAUCGAGUCUUUGCUGGACCUCUCCACGAUGACAAUCAGGAGGUGA
rnacentral:rRNA from 1 species